rnacentral:rRNA from 1 species
UACAGAGGUCUCAAGCGUUGUUCGGAUUCAUUGGGCGUAAAGGGUGCGUAGGUGGCGCUGUAAGUCGGGUGUGAAAUCUCGGGGCUUAACUCCGAAACUGCAUUCGAUACUGCCGUGCUUGAGGACUGGAGAGGAGACUGGAAUUUAUGGUGUAGCAGUGAAAUGCGUAGAGAUCGUAAGGAAGACCAGUGGCGAAGGCGGGUUGCUGGGCCGACACUGACGCUGAGGCGCGAAAGCUAGGGGAGCGAACGGG